GACGAACGCUGGCGGCGUGCCUAAUACAUGCAAGUCGAACGCUCUCGACCUUCGGGUCAUAUGAGAGAGUGGCGAACGGGUGCGUAACACGUGAGAAACCUGCCCCGAAGAUGGGAAUAGCCCGAGGAAACUCGGAUUAAUGCCCAAUACCUUCACAUCAUCGCAUGGUGGAGUGAAGAAAGCUCCGGCGCUUUGGGAGGGUCUCGCGGCCUAUCAGCUUGUUGGUGAGGUAAUGGCUCACCAAGGCAUCGACGGGUAGCUGGUCUGAGAGGACGAUCAGCCACACUGGGACUGAGACACGGCCCAGACUCCUACGGGAGGCAGCAGUAGGGAAUCUUGCGCAAUGGGCGAAAGCCUGACGCAGCAACGCCGCGUGGGGGAUGAAGGCCUUCGGGUUGUAAACCCCUUUCAGCAGGGACGAAAAUGACGGUACCUGCAGAAGAAGAUCCGGCCAACUACG
rnacentral:rRNA from 1 species